UGAACGCUGGCGGCAGGCCUAACACAUGCAAGUCGAGCGGUAGCACAGAGAGCUUGCUCUCGGGUGACGAGCGGCGGACGGGUGAGUAAUGUCUGGGAAACUGCCUGAUGGAGGGGGAUAACUACUGGAAACGGUAGCUAAUACCGCAUAACGUCGCAAGACCAAAGUGGGGGACCUUUCGGGCCUCAUGCCAUCAGAUGUGCCCAGAUGGGAUUAGCUAGUAGGUGGGGUAAUGGCUCACCUAGGCGACGAUCCCUAGCUGGUCUGAGAGGAUGACCAGCCACACUGGAACUGAGACACGGUCCAGACUCCUACGGGAGGCAGCAGUGGGGAAUAUUGCACAAUGGGCGCAAGCCUGAUGCAGCCAUGCCGCGUGUAUGAAGAAGGCCUUCGGGUUGUAAAGUACUUUCAGCGAGGAGGAAGGCGUUAAGGUUAAUAACCUUGGCGAUUGACGUUACUCGCAGAAGAAGCACCGGCUAACUCCGUGCCAGCAGCCGCGGUAAUACGGAGGGUGCAAGCGUUAAUCGGAAUUACUGGGCGUAAAGCGCACGCAGGCGGUCUGUCAAGUCGGAUGUGAAAUCCCCGGGCUCAACCUGGGAACUGCAUUCGAAACUGGCAGGCUAGAGUCUUGUAGAGGGGGGUAGAAUUCCAGGUGUAGCGGUGAAAUGCGUAGAGAUCUGGAGGAAUACCGGUGGCGAAGGCGGCCCCCUGGACAAAGACUGACGCUCAGGUGCGAAAGCGUGGGGAGCAAACAGGAUUAGAUACCCUGGUAGUCCACGCCGUAAACGAUGUCGACUUGGAGGUUGUGCCCUUGAGGCGUGGCUUCCGGAGCUAACGCGUUAAGUCGACCGCCUGGGGAGUACGGCCGCAAGGUUAAAACUCAAAUGAAUUGACGGGGGCCCGCACAAGCGGUGGAGCAUGUGGUUUAAUUCGAUGCAACGCGAAGAACCUUACCUACUCUUGACAUCCAGAGAACUUAGCAGAGAUGCUUUGGUGCCUUCGGGAACUCUGAGACAGGUGCUGCAUGGCUGUCGUCAGCUCGUGUUGUGAAAUGUUGGGUUAAGUCCCGCAACGAGCGCAACCCUUAUCCUUUGUUGCCAGCGGUCCGGCCGGGAACUCAAAGGAGACUGCCAGUGAUAAACUGGAGGAAGGUGGGGAUGACGUCAAGUCAUCAUGGCCCUUACGAGUAGGGCUACACACGUGCUACAAUGGCAUAUACAAAGAGAAGCGACCUCGCGAGAGCAAGCGGACCUCAUAAAGUAUGUCGUAGUCCGGAUUGGAGUCUGCAACUCGACUCCAUGAAGUCGGAAUCGCUAGUAAUCGUAGAUCAGAAUGCUACGGUGAAUACGUUCCCGGGCCUUGUACACACCGCCCGUCACACCAUGGGAGUGGGUUGCAAAAGAAGUAGGUAGCUUAACCCUUCGGGAGGGCGCUUACCACUUUGUGAUUCAUGACUGGGGUGA
rnacentral:rRNA from 1 species